rfam:Picea glauca, whole genome shotgun sequence.
UCACCGGUUUUUCUCAAAACCACAAUGUUAAGAGUUGUAGCAAAAU